rnacentral:rRNA from 1 species
GACGGAGGGUGCUAGCGUUGUUCGGAAUCACUGGGCGUAAAGGGUGCGCAGGCGCCAAGUGUGUCAGGUGUGAAAUCCCGAGCUUAACCUCGGAACUGCGCCUGAAACUACUUGGCUAGAGUACUGGAGAGGGUAACGGAAUUCACGGUGUAGCAGUGAAAUGCGUAGAUAUCGUGAGGAACACCAGAGGCGAAGGCGGUUACCUGGACAGUUACUGACGCUCAGGCACGAAAAGCCGUGGGGGAGCAAAAAGGG